GAGAGUGUAGCUCAGUGGUAGAGUGUGUGCUUAGCAUGCAUGCGUUUCUGGGUUAAAUCCCUAGUACCUCCA
rnacentral:tRNA from 1 species